rnacentral:lncRNA from 1 species
UGUGUGGUAUUUGUGUGAUAUGUGUGUGUUUGAUAUAUGUGUGCUGUUUGUUUGAUGUAUUUGUGUGUGUGUCUCAUUGUGUGUGAUAUGUGUCUGUGUCUCUGUGUGUGUGUCUCAUUGUGUGUGAUCUGUGUCUGUGUCUCUGUGUGUGUGUCUCAUUGUGUGUGAUCUGUGUCUGUGUCUCUGUGUGUGUGAUGUGUUUGUGUGAUUGUGUAUGUUUGUAUGUGUGUGUGUGUUUUUGAGUGUGAUUUGUAUGUGUGUGUGUGUGUGUGUGUGUGUGAUGUGUAUGUGUGUGUGUGUGUGUUUGUGUGUGUGUGUG